AUUGGAAGCUUUGAUUAAUAUAACUUAUACAAGAGGAAGUGAAAAAUAAACUAGGGAAGAUACAAAGCUACCUACCUUCCCUUUACUAACUCUUAAAACAAGGCUUGAGGGCCUAUAUAUGCCAUACAUACCACAAGGGGGCAUUCCAUCAUGUUACAACAGAAUUAGCAAAACUUAGGAUGGGAAGAAACUACCUUCUCCCCUCAUUACUAUUAAACUUUACAUCAUUUUCACUUCAUACCUUAUAUAUUUGGAGAAACCAUAUGCAUCUUAUUCUCACAGAUCCAAAGAAUAUGCAGCAAACAAGAUAUUUCAACUUUGGAUUAAGCAAUCAUCCAUCGACCAGUCUAUCGAUCAUAACCCAUAGCUGCAACAGGGAUCCUGACUUUGUGACCUCUGCUACCUUUCAGUAAAACCUCUCCAAAACUAUAGGCUCCUUUUACUGAUCGGACAGUGAGAGUUACCGUGAAUUUCCUUGAUGCACCAUGCCUUAAAGUCAUUGCAGGAGGAUUAGUUUCAAUGGCAAUUUCUGGAGCCAUUCUUGCUGUUACAACAUAUGUUUCUUCCUCAGCAACAUUUGUCACUGUACGUGUGAUUAUUCGUGUUCCCACAAGGUGUGAAACUGCAAUUGAGGGUGAGUUGAAAUUUGAUGGGUGACCAAGGGUGUAGUUGCAUGGGGAAUGUGUGAACUUCUUUAUUUCCUGAGCAUCAAUUCCAGGCACAGUGCACAAGAACCCCAAAUAAUCUUGAUAACCUGCAUCAAAAAUGAGUCCGGGAUCCAGAGCUGCUCUAGGAUUAACAUGUCCACUUCCAUAGUCAAAUGGAGUAGCUGGAACAAGCAUCAAGGUCUCAGAUCCAGAAUACUGUUGUGCUUGAAGUGGUCUAUCCGCCCUAUCAAUGAUUGAUGAAGUUGUCAUCAAUGCUGAUUUAAUAGCAGCAGGACUCCAAUGAGGGUGGUGCUGCUUGACAAGGGCUGCUAUUCCUGCUAUAUGGGGUGCUGCCAUGCUAGUUCCAGAGAUCAAUGCAAACCCUUCACCACAAUAGUUGGCUUCAUCUGUCCCAUUGGGAGCCCAGGCAGCCCAAAUAAGAGAACCAGGAGCCAGUAUAUCGGGUUUCAGGAGAUCAGCAUCUUGAAAGCUGUAAUCUUUGAUAUUAGGUCCUCUAGCAGAGAAGACAGCAACUUGAGGUGCAGAUUUGUGGAGUAUCGGCCUCAACCCAUUCCCAAUGCUUCCUGUUGAUUUAAAGCUCUCAACACGUCCAGUCCAAUCUCUUGAAGUGGUGAUGUUGUAGUAGUUUACAAGCUCCAUUGACAUGGAAACAUCUGUUAUAAGAAUCCCAGGAAUUCUAACAGGAACCGGGUCAAAUUUUGUUCCUGGUGAAGCAUUUUCUACAGCAAGAACGAAGCCAGCUGCACCAAGAGCUUUUGCUGUUUCCGCGACUUUUUUGAUCGAUGCUGUGCCAACUACGAAAUUGAAAGAAUAGCCACAAAGAAGGAUGUUACCCUUCACCAAAUUCUUGUUUAAAACUUCUGGCCUUUGACAGUCAGCAGGACUGUACUUAGUAACCGACGAAUCCAAAAGAACAUCAUUUGCUGCUACCAUAGUGAAUGUCCUGUUCGGAUGUGUGGAAGGUGAUAGACCGAGUCCAGCUAAGACUUUCCCAUUUCCUAAUGUCAAAUGAUUUUUGUAUCUACGAUCAUCAACUGCAGCAGCCACUGAUGCUAUCCAUGGACUAUAAGACACCAAAGUUUUGGGGAAAGGACCUCCGUUUCCAGCAGCCUGUGCAAUAAAUACACCGGCUUUCACAGCUGAAAGAAGAGUAGCAUCAAAAGGGUUCAAAAAUGUUGUCUUUGUAGUUGCUGGUGGACUGUUUGGCCCCACUGAGAGAUUAAGAAUGUCCACACCAUCAUGAACAGCCUGUUCAAUAGCAGCAACUACAUCUGCAACAAACCCUCCAAAUAGCCUAUAUAGUGCCUUGUAUACAGCAAUUCUCGCACGAGGUGCCAUACCACUUGCUCUUCCAAACUCAAAUCCAUGCAUUCUGACAGGAAUCCCAUUGUUUCCAGCAGCGAUAGCUGCCGUGUGGCUUCCAUGUCCGUCACCGUCUAGAGGAGAAUCAAAAUCAAUUGCAGGAUUAAAUGAACCAGCUGCUUUUGCAGCUUUCGCAAAAUGUUGAGCACCUAUAAUCUUCCCAUUGCAAUAGUCUUUCUUGGUGUUAGGAUCAAUUUCACAUUUUCCUCUAUAUUUAGGAAGUGGUCCAUAGGGCUCAGUGUUAUGGCUUGCAAAACUUGGAUGGUGUGGAUAGAUGCCAGAGUCAAUGAAACCUAUUACGAUAUCCUCGCCUGCCCGGUCAAAUCCACCACCUGUCGGCCAUACUCCUGUAGGAAGCCCCAAAAACUGUGGCGUGUGAGUUGUAAGUCUCUUCACCUUCCAAUCUCUCUCCACAG
rnacentral:misc_RNA from 1 species